UACGUAGGGCGCAAGCGUUGUCCGGAAUUAUUGGGCGUAAAGAGCUCGUAGGUGGCGUGUCGCGUCUGCCGUGAAAGCCCAUGGCUUAACUGUGGGUCUGCGGUGGAUACGGGCAGGCUGGAGGCUGGUAGGGGCAAGCGGAAUUCCUGGUGUAGCGGUGAAAUGCGCAGAUAUCAGGAAGAACACCCGUGGCGAAGGCGGCUCUCUGGGACGGUACUGACGCUGAGACGCGAAAGCCAGGGGAGCAAACGGG
rnacentral:rRNA from 1 species